rnacentral:lncRNA from 1 species
AAAAAAAAAAAGCCUUCCCAGAACCUGACUAUGAGGGCAUCCCGAUCUUGGCGUGUCUAGCUUUCAGACCCAUGAAAGACAAAGACGGAAGACAAGGUCCAGCUUUUGGAAGCAAUAAUGAAUAACAGUGAAUGGAAAAGCUGCCUUUCACUGGAGGAGGAGGCAGAACAUUGCCUUCAGCCAGAGUCCAGCUUGUAAUACACAUUGAGUAACAGGCUGGCACAGCAAUAUAAGCAAGACAUUGUCUCCAGAAAGGAAAAUUUGCUUCACUAAUCCUGAUCCCAAGACCAGCUCCAUCCUUCCUUCCAAACAUAGAUGACCCACCACCUCCUGGAAACUGAUCUGGAGGAAGCGCCAUAUGUAUCCUUCUAUCCUAUGGUCCUGACAAGUCCUAUCACAUACAUAGAAUUGCUAUUUCUUUCUAUACACUGCCCUGUCCAGCCCUGAGUCUUCAACAUAAAUGUUCUCCUUAGCUAAACGUUUUGGAGCCUGCUUUUUCCAGGUGGUUCAACAUUGCUUGGUGCAGAAGAGAUGAAUGAGUUCCCUAAAGAAGGCAUUCUCAUUCCCACGGAGACACAGUGGUGAGCGACUCCAUCCUAGUCUCUUCCCUG